UACGGAGGGUGCAAACGUUGCUCGGAAUCAUUGGGCGUAAAGCGCACGUAGGCGGCCUGAUAAGUCGGGUGUGAAAGCCCUGGGCUCAACCCAGGAAGUGCACUCGAAACUGUCAGGCUUGAAUAUGGAAGAGGGUCGCGGAAUUCCCGGUGUAGAGGUGAAAUUCGUAGAUAUCGGGAGGAACACCAGUGGCGAAGGCGGCGACCUGGGCCAAUAUUGACGCUGAGGUGCGAAGGCGUGGGGAGCAAACAGG
rnacentral:rRNA from 1 species